UACGGGGGGGGCAAGCGUUGUUCGGAAUUACUGGGCGUAAAGGGCUCGUAGGUGGCCAACUAAGUCGGACGUGAAAUCCCUCGGCUUAACCGGGGAACUGCCUUUGAUACUGAAGAUCUUGAGUUCGGGAGAGGUGAGUGGAACUGCGAGUGUAGAGGUGAAAUUCGUAGAUAUUCGCAAGAACACCAGUGGCGAAGGCGGCUCACUGGCCCGAUACUGACGCUGAGGCACGAAAGCGUGGGGAGCAAACAGG
rnacentral:rRNA from 1 species